rnacentral:rRNA from 1 species
AGUGAACGCUGGCGGUAUGCCUAACACAUGCAAGUCGAACGACAGCUCAGUAAGAUCUUUCUCCUACGGGUGGCGAGUGGCGGACGGGUGAGGAAUACAUCGGAAUCUACUUUGUCUUGGGUGAUAACGUAGAGAAACUUACGCUAAUACCUCAUACAACCAACGGCUGAAAUCAGUGGUUCUUGAGACCUUUGCCGUUUCAUUUAGCUGGUGUCGCAUUAGCUAGUUGGGGUGGUAAAGUCCCACCAAGGCGACGAUCCGUAGCUGGUCUGAGAGGAUGAUCAGCCACACUGGAACUGAGACACGGUCCAGACUCCUACGGGAGGCAGCAGUGGGGAAUAUUGGACAAUGGGCGUAAGCCUGACCCAGCCAUACCGCGUGGGUGAAGAAGGCCUUCGGGUUGUAAAGCCCUUUUAUUGGGAAAGAAAAGCAGCAGGUUAAUCCCCCGAUGUUCUGACGGUACCUAAAGAAUAAGCAACGGCUAACUUCGUG